UACGGAGGGUGCAAGCGGUGUUCGGAAUUACUGGGCGUCAAGCGCGCUAAGGCGGUGUGCUAAGUCAGAUGUGAAAACCCUCGGCUUAACCGGGGACGUGCAUUUGAAACUGGCAGACUUGAGUACUGGAGGGGGUGGUGGAAUUCCCGGUGUAGAGGCGAAAUUCGUAGAUAUCGGGAGGAAUACCGGUGGCGAAGGCGACCACCGUGCCAGAUACUGACGCUGAGGUGCGAAAGCGUGGGGAGCAAACAGG
rnacentral:rRNA from 1 species